AUACUUACCUGGCAGGGGAGAUACCAUGAUCAGGUAGAUGGUUUUCCCAGGGUGAGGCUCACCCAUUGCACUCCAAGUGUGCUGACCCUUACGAUUUCCCCAAAUUUGGGAAAUUCAACUGCAUAAUUUGUGUGUGUGUGUGGGGGGGGGGAGUGUUACAGG